AAUGAAGGGGAUGAUGUCUUUCUUUGUGAAUAUGAAUAUGAUAUACGCUGGCAAAGUUUCAAGCGUCUAGCUGAGAUU